AAAUUUUCUCUGCCCAAUGAAAAUUUUUUAAUGGCCGCAGUAUUUUGACUGUGCAAAGGUAGCAUAAUAAAUAGUUUUUUAAUUGAAGACUAGAAUGAAAGAGAGGAUGAAAUUUAAACUGUCUCUAUUUAAAAAAUAAAAAUUUAUUUUAAGUAAAAAAUCUUAAAUAAGUUUAAGGGACGAGAAGACCCUAUAGAAUUUAAAAAUUUUAUAUAAUUAAUAUAAUAAAUUUAAAAAAAAUUAUUUAUUUAAAAUUUUUUUAUUGGGAGGAUAUUAAAAUUUAAAAAACUUUUAAUUUAUAAAAACAUUAAUUUAUGAAAUAAUUAAUAUAAGUAAAUAAAAAAAAUAAAAUUACCUUAGGGAUAACAGCGUAAUAAAUUUUUAAAGUUCAAAUUAAAAAAUUUGAUUGCGACCUCGAUGUUGAAUUAAAAUAAAAUUUAGGUGUAAAAGCUUAAUAUUUAAGUCUGUUCGACUUUUAAAAUUU
rnacentral:rRNA from 1 species